UACGUAGGGGGCAAGCGUUGUCCGGAUUUAUUGGGCGUAAAGAGCGUGUAGGCGGCCAGGUAGGUCAGCUGUGAAAACUCGAGGCUCAACCUCGAGACGCCGGUUGAAACCAUCUGGCUAGAGUCCGGAAGAGGAGAGUGGAAUUCCUGGUGUAGCGGUGAAAUGCGCAGAUAUCAGGAAGAACACCCGUGGCUAAGGCGGCUCUCUAGUACGGUACUGACGCUGAGACGCGAAAGCGUGGGGAGCAAACGGG
rnacentral:rRNA from 1 species